rnacentral:rRNA from 1 species
AUUGAACGCUGGCGGCAGGCUUAACACAUGCAAGUCGAGCGAGCGGCGGACGGGUGAGUAAUGUCUGGGAAACUGCCUGAUGGAGGGGGAUAACUACUGGAAACGGUAGCUAAUACCGCAUACCAUCAGAUGUGCCCAGAUGGUCUUAGCUUGUGGGUGGGGUAAUGGCUCACCAAGGCGACGAUCCCUCGCUGGUCUGAGAGGAUGACCAGCCACACGGGAACUGAGACACGGUCCAGACUCCUACGGGAGGCAGCAGGGGGGAAUAUUGCACAAUGGGCGCAAGCCUGAUGCAGCCAUGCCGCGUGUGUGAAGAAGGCCUUCGGGUUGUAAAGCACUUUCAGCGAGGAGGCGUGAAGCGAAGAAGAAGCACCGGCUAACUCCGUGCCAGCAGCCGCGGUAAUAG